rnacentral:lncRNA from 1 species
UUUGGUGAUACAAGUGCUCCAGACCCCUGAGGGUUUUGCCUUGCACAAGAAUCAUCCCAGCACUUGCCUCCUUUCUCUAGCUCUUGAGGCACUGGCCAAGGAUUUCUCCGUGCUCAAGAUCCGGCCACUCACACAGGGGACCAAGCAGUCGAAGCUGAAAGCCUUGCAGAGGCCAAGUAAGGCAAAGCCUGUCCCCUUGCAGGGAGGCUGCCUGUGCUUAUGCGUUUGGUUUGUUUCCCUUCUUCAACCCUCUGCUCUUCAAGAGCCUGGGCCACAGCAGCUAGUGGGGCUCAGCUUCCCCUAAGCCUGGACAGGGCCCAGGGUUAGCUACCACCUAUGUUACCUUCCUGAUCAUUGAUCUGGGAAAAGCCCAGCUUUGCUUCUAAAGGGCCAUGGAGACUACUCUGUAAGGGUCAGAAGUACUUGGGCCUAGAUCAGGCAAAGAUGGGACCUUGGUUCUGUUGCAGACUUAUUUAACCUCCAGUGAGUCACUUGUUACAGGAGCUAGAAGCCAAAUGUUAGCCCCUUCCCUUUCCUCUUCCAGAAAGCACAGUGAGGGCUCUGAGAGGUCAGUUUUCAUGAUAGCAAAGAUGAAACCCGCAGAGUGGGCCCAGGGGAGGCCUUCCAGUGCCACCCAUGUCACUGCAAAUGGGCUGUGUCUUAGACUUCUUGAUGUCCAAUGAUCAGGUGUCUCAUCCUGAGUGUUUCCUCUCAGGGUCUUGAGCACUUCACCCCCACUGCACAUAUAAGCCAGGGUGACAG